CAAGCAAGGCAUCUUUCUUCCUGCUCUAAGCUUCAUUAACAAAACUUCAUAGCUCUCACAGGCAUUCCACUUCUGUCACGGCAAAUGUAAAACCCGACGAGUAGUAUUGCAUUUUUGUUACAGCGUACUUCCAGUGAACAAAACUCAUCGUCUGCAUGGCACUGACCUUCUGGUUGGUAGGGCUGGUUGCCCUGCUUGCCCUGGAAUUCCAGCCAGGGAGUGCAUCCAGCACGCGAGGAGGUAAUUUCCUCGUGGUCUCAGAGAGUGAAACCCCCUUCUUGCUGAGCUUCUGCCGGCAUCUGGUGGAGUUGGUGUCAGAGGCUGAAGAGAGGAAGGAUGCCUGCUGUGGGGAAGGGGAGUUGCCCUGCUCACCGCCUCCAGGGCAGAUCACUGGGAGGGAUCACCUCCUGCUGCAGCUUAGCAAUGGGCCCACAGUCCUGAGCGGAGAACAGAGGCUUUCACUGUCAGCUCCAUAUGCUCGCGCAGCUGUGUCGUUCUCUAACAUGAGCACAUCCAGCUCUUUUAUCCACUAUUAGUAGGUAAUCGAGUCAGGCACAGAGUUAAGCAGGAAUAUAUUCUGUCAUGAAAAAGGACCACAGAAUUUUGAAAAUGAAAAGCGCUUCUGCAUUUUGUAUUUUCCAUUAUUCAUCUGAUCUCUGAGAGCAGUUGCAGCUACACUUGCCCUUUUGUUUUUAAUGAGUUGCCUAUGGAUUCCAUUUCAUGUUCCUCCUGUAUAUACAGUACAUUUGCUCUCAGGGAGAACAUUUUUCCUGAAAGUUUUCAUCUGGCACAGAAGUGGGGAAGAAAGUGAAAUAUUUGAGCUAAGGAUCAUUAGUUGUGAUUUCUUCUUCAGCCUCCUUUCUGUGCCGUUAACAUCUCAGUGGUAAAGAGCAGAAACGUGAAAAUUGGCAGGAAUGAUGUUCCUAUCUCAUAUGUGCCAUUCACAGUCUGAAAAGGCUGGCUGAGAUAUAGGCAAAUUAUAGUGAUUUUUUUUUUAAUCUAGUUAAUACAUAAUCAUUACUAAAAAAUAAUAAUGCUCAUAAUCUUCCUGUGUUCCUUUGGCUCGAUGACACUGUGCACUGUGUUUGGACAAUGGGAUGAAGUCUUUGGCUUUCUUGGGGUUUGCAUGUGUAGUAUGUGUGAUUAUAGUGUGCAUUUAUGAUUGUUCAUCUGUAUAAAAAAACACUUAUUAAAGGUGGGCCAUGUGGUUAUGAUUUA